AGCGAACGCUGGCGGCGUGCUUAACACAUGCAAGUCGAGCGAAGGUGUUUCAAGGGUAACCUUGAGAUACACUUAGCGGCGGACGGGUGAGUAAUACGUGGAUAACUUACCUCUAGGCCUGGGAUAACCCCGGGAACUGGGGCUAAUACCUGAUAAGACCACAUUGUCUACGGACAAAGGGGUAAAGGUGGCUGUGCAAACAGCUAUCGCCAAAAGAUAGGUUCACGUCCCAUCAGGCAGUUGGUGAGGUAAUGGCUCACCAAACCAAAGACGGGUAGCCGGCCUUGGCGGGGUGAACGGCCACAC
rnacentral:rRNA from 1 species